GGGCCUGUAGCUCAGUUGGGAGAGCGCUAGAAUCGCACUCUAGAGGUCGCAGGUUCGAUCCCUGUCAGGUCCACC
rnacentral:tRNA from 1 species